rnacentral:rRNA from 1 species
UUUUUCCUACGGGGGGCAGCAGUGGGGGAUAUUGCACAAUGGGGGGAACCCUGAUGCAGCGACGCCGCGUGGGUGAAGGAGCGUUUCGGCGCGUAAAGCCCUAUCGGCAGGGAAGAAGAUGACGGUACCUGACCAAGAAGCCCCGGCUAACUACGUGCCAGCAGCCGCGGUAAUACGUAGGGGGCAAGCGUUAUCCGGAUUUACUGGGUGUAAAGGGAGCGUAGACGGAGGAGCAAGUCUGAUGUGAAAAUCCGGGGCCCAACCCCGGAACUGCAUUGGAAACUGUUUAUCUAGAGUGUCGGAGG